GCAACCAGCUCCUUAUCAAGCAUCUCCCAUGGCAGCAUGACACCAGAACAGACAACAAGUCAGUUAACGACAAGUUCUCCCUCAGUCUUUCUGACGUCUCCAUCCAGUUCUAGUCUCCCUACAGAGACAUCAGCAGCACAAACAUCUCCUAACAUCACUCUAGCAGCCACUUUGUCUUCAAUCACACCCUCCCAUGUCAGUACAACCACAAAAUGGAUCACUGGUCAGUUGGCAACAGGUACCACCCCUACCUCUUUUCAGUCCCCCUUCCAUCGUAGUUAUAUGAGUGAAUCAAUUACAGAAACAUCACCUCCUUACCUCAGCCACGUCACCAAUGUAUAUGCAACUACUACUCCUGUUUCGGACACCAUCUUCUAUGAGAGAUCUACAGUUGGGCAGGCAUUGAGUCAAUCCACAGAAAUCUCCCUAGAGAACACACCCAAAGCCCAGACAGCUGAAACUUUCCGUGCUACUGGGGGCACUUUAGUCCAGUCCACAAAGGACUCUUCUACCUCCCAAUUUACAGGAACUUUUGGUGAAGUUGGAACCAUGAGCUCAGAUGCUCUAGUGACAAACACACACAGCUUAGGCACGAUGGGGGGACCCACUUCCUCACCCACCAAACCAACUUCAUCUUGGAUUUCAUCUCAACAGGCAUCCAGUUGGCCAACCUUCUCAACUUCUUCCAUAUCCCCCUCUGGUUCUCUCCCUGACACUCAGACAAUGGAAACAUCUCUUCCUCAUUUGAGAACCGAGGUCACUGAAAGAGCAACCAGCUCUUUAUCAAGCAACUCCCAUGGCAGCACGACAUCAGAACAGUCAACAAGUCAGUUAACAACAGGCACUUCCUCAGUCUCUUUCACCUCUCCAUCCAGUUCUAGUCUCCCUAAAGAGACAUCAACAGCACAAGCAUCUCCUAAUUUCAGUACUUAUAUACCUCUAGGAGCAACCUCAGCUUCAUUCUCAACCUCCAAUGUAAUCACCACCACAGAACAGGAAACAGAUCAGUGGAGAACCGACACCACCCCAAAGUCUUCAAAAUUUCCACUGAGUUUUAGACGAACGACUGAAACAAAAACAGAAAUAUCAUCUCCUCAUCUCGGCCAUGUCACCACUGUGCCCACAACUGCAACUCCUGUUUCAGAUACCAUCUUCUCUGAUAGAUCUACAUUUGGGCAGACAAUGGAUCAAUCCACAGAAAUGUCCCAGAGGAGCACACUUAAAGACCAAACAGCUGAGUUAUUCCGCACCACUUGGAACACUUUCGUUCACCCAACGAAGAUCUCCUCCACCUCCCAAUUCACAAGCACCACUGGAGAUGUUGGAACCAUGAGCUCUGAUAGUUUAAUGACAAACCUUCCCGGCUUAGUGACAUCUGGGGGACCCACUUCCACACCUGCCAAACCAACUUCAUCCUGGCUUUCAUCUCAAAAGUCAUCCAGUUUGCGAACAUUUCCAACUUCCUCAUCCCUCUUUGGUUCUCUCCCUGCCACUCAGACCGUGAAUAAAUCGCUUCCUUAUUUGAAAACGGAAGUGACUGAAAGAGCAACCUUCUCUUCAUCCAGCUCCUCCCAUGACAGUGUGACACCAGAACAGGCAAGAGGUCAGUUGUCAACAUCAACCUCUUCCACCUACCUAUCCAGCUCUAGUCUUCCAACUGAGAAAACAACAGAAACAUCAUUUCCUCAUUUCAGUACUGAUAUGGCCCAGGCAGCAAUCUUAGCUUUAACUACAGCCUCCCAAGUCAACAUAACCACAGAAUCAACCACUGAUCAAUUGGCAACAGGCACUUUUCAGAUAUCUUCUCAAACCCCAUCCAGUUCUGGCCAUACAACUGAAUCAAAAACAGCAAUAUCAUCUCCACACAUCAGUCUUGUCACCAAAGUACACACAGCUCCAACCCCUGUUUCCGGCAUAAGGUCCUCUGAGAGCUCUACAGUUGGAGAGACAAUGGGUCUAUCUACAGAGGUGUCCCAAAGAACCCCACCUAAACAAAUGACAACUGAAUCAUUCCACACUAUUCGCAGCACUUUGGCUGACACUAUCAUGGAGUCUACUAGCUCUUCAUUCACUCAAUCUACUGGUAAAGCUAGGACCAUGACCUUGAAUCCUGUUACGAACACCCUGAACUCGGUCACAUCAAUGGAAAGCACCUUCUCAUCCUCUCAGUCAGCUUCUUCUGAGGCAUCAUCUCGAGGAGUUCCUACAAGGGGAAUAUCUCACUCAUCUUCUUUACCUUCCAGUUCAAGUCACGUAACUGAGACAACAGACAAACCAUCUCCUUAUUUCAAUACUGCUAUCACACUAGUAGCAACCUCAACUUCAAUAACAACUUCUGAUAUCAUCAAAACCGCAGAGAAGACAACAGGUCAUUUGGAAACAGGUUUCACCCUGACCUCUUCUGUAUCUCCCUCAAGUCGUAGCCAAAUGACUGAAACUAAAACAGAAACAGCUUUACCUUCCAUGACCAGUGUUUCAGAUACCAUCUCCUCUAAGAGCUCUGCAGCAGGCCAGACAAUGGGUCAGCCCAUGGAAUCCCAAAGGAGCACUCCUUCAGACCAAAGACCUGAAUCAUUCCACACUGCUCAGGGCACUUUGGCUCACCCCACAAAAGGCUCCUCUACCCUGCUUUUCUCAAGGCCGCCUGGAGAUGUUGGAACCAUGAGCUCCAAUGCUCAAAUGACAAACACCCUUAGUUUAGUCACAACGAUCAGUACCACCUCCUCAUCCACCAAACCUGCCUCAAUCGGGAUUUCAUCUCGACCGCCUCCCAGUUUGGGAAGCUCCUUAACGUCAUCCACAUCCCCCUCCAGUUCUACCCCUAGUUUAACAGUAACCUCACCUCUUUAUUUGAGUAGUCAAAUCCCCCAACGAACAAUCUCCACUUCCACCCGUACCUCCAACGACAGCAUCACACAUGAGCAGACAUCAGGUCAGUUGACAACAGGUAUUUCCUCAACCUCCUCCACCACCCCAACCGGUUCUAAUCUCAAAAUUGAGACAGCAUCAGAUACCUCAUCUCCAUACACCAUCCUCACCACCAGGAAACAUGCAACAAGUAGAAGUCCUAUUUCAGCCACUGCUUUCUCUGAGAUCUCCACAGUGAGACAGGAAACAGAUCAAUCUACAGACAUCUCCCAAAGAACCUCAUCUAGAGAAACAACCUCUGAAUCAUUCCAGACGACUCAGAGGACUUUGACUGUCACCUCCAUGGACUCUACCAGCUCUUCAUUCACUCAGUCCCAUGGCAAAGCAGAGAUCAUGAGCUCAGAUGCUGUUGUUACAAACACCCUCAAAUCAGUCAUAACUUCCUCUGUCCCUCAAUCCACUUCUGAGGAUGGAGCCUCAUCCUCCCCUUCUAUAUCUUCCAGUUCAACUCACAUAACUGAAACAACAGGCUCACAGUCUUCCCCCUUUGGUGCUGAUAUCACACUAGCAGCAUCCUCAUCAUCAAUUACAACUUCUGUUGCCAUUCCAACUGCAGAACGAACAACAAAUCAGUUGAAAGUAGGUGCUACCUCAACCUCUAUUGAAUCCCCUCUGAGUUUUAGACCAACAACUGAAACAAAAACAGAAAUAUCAUCUGCAUACAUUGACCUUGUCACCAGUGUACCCUCAACUACAACUGUUGUUCCAGACACCAUCUCCUCUGAAAGAUCUACAGUUGGACAGACAAUUGAUCAAUUCUCAGAAAUCUCCCAAAAGACUACUCUUAAAGAACAAAUAGCUGAUUCAUUCCACACUGCUCAGAGCACUUUGACUCAAUACAUGAAAGACUCCUCCACUUCCCAAUUUCACCUCCCUGGAGAUAUUGGAACCAUGAGCUCCGACAUUCUAACGACAAACACCCUCAACAUAGUCACUACUGAGGAACCCAACUUCUCACCGUCUCCAUCCACUUCUUCUGCCGUCUCACCUCAAGAAACUGCGGCACUGCCUAGUUCUAGUUCCAUGACUGAGACCACAACAAGCACAAAAGUACCUCCUUAUUCCAGUACUGAUAUCAUGCAGGCAUCGAUCUUACCUUUACCUAUAGCCUCCCAUGUCAAUACAACCACAGAAUCAACCACUGAUCAGAUGGCAACUAGUACCUUCCCAGUGUCCUCACAAUUCCCCUCCAGUUCUGGCUCAACGACUGAGACAAAAACAAAACUGUCAUCUCCGUAUCUCAGCCACGUCCCCAGUACACACACAACUGCAAACCUUCUCUCAGACACCACCUCCUCUGAGAGCUCUACAGUUAGGCAGACCAUGAGUCAAACUACAGAAAUCCAGAGGAGCCCAUCUAAAGACAGAACAGCUAAAUCAUUCCUCACCACUCAGCGCACUUUGGCUCACCCCACAAUGGAUUCCUCCACUUCCCAUUUCAUAAGCACCCUGGGAGAAGUUGGAACUAUGAGCUCCGAUACUCUGACAAAAACCCUCAGCUUAGCCCAGUCAGAGGGCCCCACCUCCUCACCCACCAAACUCUCUUCAUCUUGGAUUUCAUCUCCCCAAACAUCCAGUUUGGGAACCUCCUCAACUUCUUUCAUAUCCCCUUCUGGUUCUCUUCCUAUCACUCAGACGAUGGAAGCAUCAUCUUCUUAUUCGAGAACUCCGAUCACUCAAGGAGCAAUCUUCACCUCAGGCAGCACCUCUCAUGACAGCAUCAAAACUGGUCAGGCAACAGAUCAGGUGACAACCCCAUCACCUUCCUCCUUUGGCAUUCAUCUCACAACUGAGACAGUGGCAGAAACAUCAUCUCCAAAAACCAUCCUUGUCACAGAUACUCUGCCAAUCACCAAAAUGGACUCUUCUACCUCACCGGUCCCUCGGGGCACAAUCUCAGAUGCUAUUAUCACAAAAACUCUCAACUCAGUCAGAGGAUCCAGAUCUGCCAUCCCACCCACUAAAUACAGCUCCACUUUAAUUUCAACCCAACAGUUGUCUACCCUGGUUACUUCUGAAAUCCCUUACUUAUCCAACUCCGGUUCUAGCUACACAACUAAUACAACAAUGGUCACAGUUUCUCCUUAUUUCAAUAUAACACCUGAAACAACCACAACUUCCCAUGACAUCACCAAUAUGGAGGGGACAACGGGUCCCUUAACUAAGAGUGCCUCUUCUGUCUCUUCAACAUCUUCCAGUUUUAGCCACAAAACUAAGAUCACAACUGAAUCGUCAUCCCCCUUUACCAUUUUUAUUGCCAAUAUGCAUACGACGAAUGCAACCCCUGUUUCGGGUACUCCCUCCCCUCAGAUCUCUACAGUUGGACAGAAGACAGGUCAAUCCACAGAAAUUUUCCAAAGGACCACCCCUACAGAAACAACAACUAGAACAUCAUUCCCCACCCAGAAGACUUUGGCUGGCAUCACAAUGGGCAAAUCUACCACCCCAUUUGCCAGAACACCAGGAGAUGUUUUGAACACCAGCUCAGAAGCUGCUGUGACAGCCAUCCUCCGCUCAUUCACGACAGCCCGAUCCACUAAGCCCACCUCAUCCAGGGUCUCAGCUCAACAUGACUCCUCAUUAGGUAUGACUUCGACCUUCACCGAAACACCUUUGAGUUCAAGUCACACAACGGAGACACCUUUAGAAACAUCAUCUCUGUUCACCAGCCUUGUCACCAAUGCACACACAGCAACUACAACCCCUGUUUCGGUCACCAUCCCCUUCGAGAGCUCUACAGCCGGACAGACAACAGGUCGAUCCACAGAAAUUCCCCAAAGAACUACAGAUGAAGAAGCAAAAGUCAAAAGUUUACUCACCACUCAGAGCAUAUGGAUUCACACCCCUUUGGACUCCACCUCCCCAUUCCCAAGGGUCACUGUUAAACCCACCUCCUCGCCCAAGGAAAUUACCUCCUCUGAGGUUUCAUUUCAACAAGCUUCAUCAAGAGGUACCUCCUCCACAUCUUCCACAACCUCCCCCCAUUCUAGACACACAACUGAGACAAGGACGGACACAUCUCAUCUCAGGACAGUGUCAUCUUCGACUUCCAUUUCCCAUGAAGGCACUGCAGCAGAGCAGACAAGUCAGUUGGCAAGCAGUACCUUUUCAACUCCUUCUACAUUCCCCUACCGUGAGAACCUCACAACCAAAUCCACGACAAAGAAAUCACUUCCAUACACCAGCAGUGGUAACCAAAUGUUCACAAUGGUUCCAUCUCUCACUUUCAGCAUCACCUCCUCUGAGAUUUCUUCAGGUGGUCAGGCAAGCACUCAACCCACUGAAAUCUUGCUCAGGACGACAGCUAGGGACAGCACAGCCAAAUUGCUAAAUACCACUCAGAGCACCUCCUCUGCCACCACAGUGGCAUCAUCUAGGUUCCCGUACACUCAAAUCACUGGCAUUGCUGGGAAUCUAACAAACUCCUUCAGCACAAUGGCAACAGUGCUACCAACCUCAUCAGCCACUCAACCCCCCUCAACUAGAGUUUCAGCUCAACCGACACCCACGUUCAGGACCACACCAACCUCUUCCAUAUUCCUUUCUGAUUCUAGCCACACAACCGGGACAACAACAGGAAAAUAUACUAAUUUCAGAACUGAUAUCACACAGGGAGCAAGUUCUGCUUCAACCCUGCCCUUCCAUCAUGUCACCUCAGAGAAGUGGGGAACAGAUCGGUUGGCAACAGUUACCCCCUCAAGUUCCCUUAUAUCCCCACGUGGCAAGAGCCCCACAACUGAAUCCAAAACAGAAACAUCAUCUUCAUACUCCUCCAACAUUAUCACUAAUAUGUACACAAAAAGGACAAACCCCAUUUCAGGCACUACCUCUUCAGAGAGUUCUACUGGUGGACAAACAAUGGGUAUCUCCGCAGAAACCUUCCACAGGACCACUCCUAAAGAAGCAACAUCCAAAUCAUUGUUCACCACUCGGACAACUUUGGCUGACAACACAGUGGACUCCGGAGAAGCUCAGACCAUGAGUUCAAGUGGUGCCCUGGUAAACAUCUCCACCUCAGCUGUGACAGUGCAUACUUCCUCCUCUGAGAUUUUAUCUCAUCUGAUGUCUACUUUGGGUACCUUCUUAACUUCUUCCACAUCCACCUCCAGUAUUAGACAUAUGACUGAGACAGCAAGAAAAUCAUCUCCCUACACCACUCUUAUCACCAGUGUAUAUGCAACAAGUACAAAGCCUGUUUCAGAUGCCAUUUCCUCGACAAUCCCCACUGUUGGACUGACAGCAGAUCAGUCCAUAGAAACAUCCCACAUGACCACUCCUGAAAAAACAGUGGGCAUAUCACUAAAUACCACUCAGCGCUCUCUGGCUGACUCCACAGUGGACUCCACCACCUCUCUAUUUACCCAAAACACUGGAGAAACCAGAACCACUAACUCAGAUGCCACUGGGAGAACCUUCCUCAACUCAGUCAUGACAAUGGAUCACACCUCCUCCAUCACUGAAUCCACCUCAUCUGGAAUUUCAUUUCAGCCAACGUCCUUUAUGGGUACCACCUCAACCUCUUCCACUUCUCUCUCCAUUUCUAAUCACAAAACUGAAACAACAAUAGGCACAAUACCGUCUUAUGUCGAUACGGACGACAGACUCAAAGCAACCUCAUUUUCAACCUCAACCUCCAAUGACAUUACCCAGGUGAUGAAAGCAACAAGUCAGUCAACAACUGGCACCUCCUUAACAUCAUUUUCAUCUACUUAUGACAACAUAUUCACAAAGGAAAACAUAACUGAGACAUCAUCCCCCUUGACUGGCCUUGACAACAAUGUGAGCCCAAUGACCUCCUCUGAAACCUUUUCGAUGGGACAAAAAACUAGCCAAUCGCCUGAAGUAUCCCUCAGGAACACAACCAUAGAAAAAACAGCUGAAUCAUUACAAACUACCAAGGAUACAUUAUCUGAUACCACAAUGGUCUCCUCUUCCUCCUCCUUCACCUGGACAACUGGAGAAGCCCAAACCAACAGUUUGGGUGCUGCUGGGACAAAUGCCCUCAGUUCAGUCACCAUAACAGGACCCAUCUCUUCAGCCCCCGAUGUCACCUCACCUAGAGCUUCGUCUCAACAAGGGUCUACUUUAGGUAUCCUCACUACUCCUUCAGUGUCUUCCCCCAGUCUCAGUUACACAACUGAGGUAACAAUAACCCCAUCAGCAACUUAUCUCAGUACUGAGAACAAACAAGAACCAACUUCAGCAUCAGGCACCAUUUCCCAUGACAUCACCACUUCAGAACUGAUAACGGGUCAUUUGAUCCCAGUUACCGACUCUCCCACUUCCUCCCCCAUUUCUAGACACCUAACUGAUACAACAGUAGAAAUGUUGUCUCAGCCCAUCAGCGUUGUCACCAAUAGGCAAGCAACAGGUGUCACCCCCAUUGUUGGCCCCACUUCCUCUGAGAUUUUAACAACUGGCCAGAUGAUGGAUUCAUCAACUGAAAUGUCCCUUGGGACCACACCUAAAGAAAUCACAGCUGAAUCAUUAAACACUAUCACCUCCCCAUCCACUUGGGGCACUGGAGAAGCCAAGAUUACAAGCUCACGCUUUGCUUUGACAAAUGCUGUCAGCUCAGACACCACAGCAGCACUCGUCUCUUCACCCACUGAACCCACCUCAUUUGGGAUUUCAUCUAAAGAAGCACUUACUUUGGAUAGUUCUGUUAUUUCUACUUUCCCCUCAAGUUCUAGCUACAAAACUGACACUCCAACAACUACAACAUCUCCUUUCAGUACUCUUGUCCCCCAAACAGUAACCUCAGUUUCAUCUACCAUCUCCCAAGAUACUUCCUCUUUUGGGGGGACCACAGGGAAAAUACCACAACUGUCCUACCAGACCAGAGCCCAGGGCCCAACAUCACAAAUAUCCACCAUUCCUCAUCGCACCCUUGCUGUCACAGCAAUUCCUUUGUCCUCUUCCUCAUUCCAAGAGACCACUCAAGAAAGCCCGACUCAGGUCCCGAUCUCAAAUUCAACUGACAACACCACCAUGGUUAUUCCUUUCAUUUCCACCUCUUUAAGCAAUACAGCUUCCUUUUCUGAGAUCACAUCUCAACAGUUUUCCACUUUGGAUACCUUCUCAGCUGCUUCCACCGCCACUUCCAGUAACAGUCCUAGUUCUGAGCCAAUGAAAGGGACAUCACCAAUUUACAACAGUCACAUCACCAAUGUUCGUACAACUGGAGCAAAUCCUGUAACCGUCCCUGUAUCCCCUGAGGUCAGUCCGUCAAGACCAGAGUCAACAGACAUCUCCUUCAGGACCACAGCUCUAGAAACAACAGGAGAAACAUUAGGAACAACCCAAAGAACUUUGGAUUCCAUCACAGCGAAACCCUCCAACUCUCAGUUCACUGCAGUCUCUGAAGGAGCUGUAAUUAUGGGCACAGACUCACCAGUGACAACCUCAAGAUCUACAACAACAACUUCAGCUCCCAUCUCUUCCUUCACUGAAUCCACGGCAGGCCUCUCCUCCUUCCCAUUCCCUAAGACCACCGGGAAAGCUGUCCCCGUGAGGACGGAGUCAACUGUGACCGACACCUUCAUGAAAGUCACAACAUCAGGUUCCAUCUCCUCACCUGCCAGACCCACCUCAUCUGGAUUUCCCAUUCAACAAUUAUCUACUUCAGCUACCAGAUUAUCUUCUGGGGUCAGCCUCACGACUGAGCCUACAGUAAACAUUUCAUCACUCUUAACCAAUCCUGUCACUAGUAUGGAAGCAAGAGGAUCAACCUCAAUAGUAUCUCUCACCACCUCCUCUGGCAUCAGUCCGUCAUCUGCAAAGUCCGUAAGCCAGCAGACAGAAAUCUCCUACAGCACUUCAGCCCAAGAAAGCACAGCAACUACAAACACACUGUCAAAAACGGCAACAGAAUCCCCUUCCACUAUAUCAGGAAACACCGGACAAGCCCCAUCUAAGGGAACAUCUCUGGUGAGGUCUCCAGGCACCCUUGGCGACACACCUGGUUCAAUGGAGACUCAACCACCUCCACUGGCCUCUUCCAUUUCAGGCAGCACGGAGAACCUAGGGUCCACCUCUCAUCCAGCCACAAGCUCCUCCUUCGCAAUGACCACUACCACUCCCAGACCCCUUUCUGUGAGCAUCAACCCAGAAUGGGCCACAACAAGCAGACCAACAUCAGACAUUGAUUCUAGCCCCUCCCCACAGUUCUCUGGUACCCCACCUACUGAACCCACUUCCAACUUGAGUCAGUCUCUUCCACCGACAAAUUAUGCAACAACGCCCCCCAUUUUGAGCACUUCACCAACAGGUAUUCUCCAGAUCAGCACAACAAUCCCUUCAACCCCAGAGAACAUUCCAAUAUCUGCUAAUACCACUGGUUGGACUGAGGGUAUCACUCCAGGUAGGUGGGAUCUGGCUGGUCUCUGAGCAUGUGAGUUACACAACCCCUGUCUGGUUUAUUCUGUCUGGUUUAUUAGAGAAGCAGCAUGGCUCAGUGGAAAGAGCACGGGCUUUGGAGUCAGAGGUCAUGAGUUCGAAUCCCAGCUCUGCCACUUGUCAGCUGUGUGACUGUGGGCAAGUCACUUCACUUCCCUGGGCCUCAGUUACCCCAUCUGUAAAAUGGGGAUGAAGACUGUGAGCCCCAUGAGGGACAGCCUGAUCACCUUGUAUCCCCCCCAGCGCUUAGAACAGUGCUCUGCACAUAGUAAGCGCUUAACAAAUACCAACAUUAUUAUUAUUAUUAUUCUACUGAGCCAACUCAGGCAUGUUCUCACUCUAUAAACCCACUGGUCUUUGGAGGAAAGGCUGAGGAUUGCAGGAAGGCCUGAGAUAGAUGUGGAAGGAUUCAUCAAUAGCUAGAACCACAGGGUGGAGAAGCAGUGUGGCCAGCUGCUGUUUGACCUUGAGCAGGUCACUUAACUUCUCUGUGCCUCAGUUACUUCAUCUAUAGAAUGGGGACUAAGACUGUGAACCCCAAGUGGGACAUGGAUUGUGUCCCACCUGAUUAUAUUGAAUCUACCCCAGCACUUAGAACACGUAGCACAGAGCCAUCUGUGAACUUGGAUGUGAACACUUUGGGGAUUAGAUAUUCACCCCAGCCUCAGCUCCAUAGCACUUAUGUACAUGCCAUUAAAUAAUUAAUUUAUAUAUAUAUUAAUGUGUUUCUCCUCCUCUAAACUCUAAGUUCCUUGUGGUCAGGGAACGUGUCUACCAACUUUGUUGUACUCUCCCAAGAACUUAGGAUUCUGCGCCCAGUAAGCAUUCCAUAAAUAAAAUUGAUUGAUUGAUAGAUUGAUAGGAAGAAAAGUCAAGGGAGACUGAAGGAUCAGUUUUCCUUGAGGACUAUCAAUACCUUUGAGAUGAGUGAGAGGCAGUUCAGUCUGUAGAUAGAAAGUUGGACAAAGUAAAGAUCCUGGAUUGAGGAUCCUCAUC
rnacentral:lncRNA from 1 species